UGGGGAAUUUUGGACAAUGGACGCAAGUCUGAUCCAGCCAUGCCGCGUGAGUGAAGAAGGCCUUCGGGUUGUAAAGCUCUUUCAGGUGGAAAGAAAACGCAUAGGUUAAUACCUUGUGCGGAUGACGGUACCAUCAGAAGAAGCACCGGCUAACUACGUGCCAGCAGCCGCGGUAAUACGUAGGGUGCGAGCGUUAAUCGGAAUUACUGGGCGUAAAGGGUGCGUAGGCGGUUUAUUAAGUCAGGUGUGAAAUCCCCAAGCUCAACUUGGGAACUGCAUUUGAUACUGGUAAGCUAGAGAUCGGAAGAGGUGAGUGGAAUUCCUAGUGUAGAGGUGAAAUUCGUAGAUAUGCGGAGGAACACCGAUGGCGAAGGCAAUCCCCUGGGCCUGUACUGACGCUCAUGCACGAAAGCGUGGGGAGCAAACA
rnacentral:rRNA from 1 species